CACCGCGGUUAUACGAGUGACUCACAUUAAUACUUUACGGCGUAAAGGGUGAUUAAAAAUAAUCUAACUUACACUAAAGUUAAGACUUCAUCAAGCUGUCAUACGCACUCAUGAAUAGAAAAUUCACCAACGAAAGUAACUUUAAUUAAACAGAACUUUUGACCUCACGACAGUUAAGACC
rnacentral:rRNA from 1 species